rnacentral:rRNA from 1 species
UACGAGGGAUGCAAGCGUUAUCCGGAAUUAUUGGGCGUAAAGCGUUUGUAGGCGGGCGAGUGUGUUUAAUGUUAAAUCUUAAAGCUCAACUUUGAAAUUGCGUUAAAAACUGCUUGUCUUGAGUAUGGUAGGGGUAAAGGGAAUUCCCAGUGUAGCGGUGAAAUGCGUAGAUAUUGGGAAGAACACUAAACAGCGAAGGCACUUUACUAGGCUAAUACUGACGCUGAGAAACGAAAGGUAAGGUAGCGAAACGGAUUAGAUGCCCGUGUAGUCUUACCCGUAAACUAUGGACACUAAACGGUAAAUUUUUAAUUUACUGUUAAAGCUAACGCGUUAAGUGUCCCGCCUGGGGAGUAUGCUUGCAAAAGUGAAACUCAAAGGAAUUGACGGGGGCCCGCACAAGCGGUGGAGCAUGUGGUUUAAUUCGACGGUACACGAAGAACCUUACCAGGAUUUGACAUGCUAGAUAGUUGCUUGAAAGAGUAACGUGCCGUAAGGAAUCUAGACACAGGUGGUGCAUGGCUGUCGUCAGUUCGUGUUGUGAAAUGUUGGGUUAAGUCCCGCAACGAACGCAACCCUUGUCUUUAGUUAUUUUCUAAAGAGACUGCCUGUAAUAAACAGGAGGAAGGUAAGGAUGAGGUCAAGUCAUCAUGCCCCUUAUGUCCUGGGCUACACACGUGCUACAAUGGGAAAGACAAUGAGCUGCAAAUCUGUAAAUUUAAGCAAAUCUCUUAAACUUUCUCGUAGUUCGGAUUGUGGGCUGCAACUCGCCCACAUGAAGUUGGAAUCGCUAGUAAUCGCCAGUCAGCUAUAUGGCGGUGAAUCCGUUCCCGGGCCU